UUAAUUUUACAACUUUUUCGUAAAUAAAUUCUCACACGAAUCCCCGAAGUAAAAUAUACUUUAAUUUAAUCAUUAUAAUUUCUGCAUUUAAAUCAGAGAAUUACCCAUCUUUUUCCUUGCAGAUUGCCACACCUGUUCCUGGGCUUUGUGCUUUGUUGAACUUUGUAUAUAUACAUAUUGGAUGUAUCCACAUACUCUUAUAGUGACCACUGGAAGGCAUUCUUGAACGCAAACUCUGGGUUAUCAUAGAGAACAAAAACCUUUUCUCUGGCCACGAUGCCAACAUGCGGCGGCUUGAGGAGUAGUCUUGGGAUCUUCCUACGUAAAGGAACCUCGAAGAAAGCAGUUUUAAGAUACUAGAACAAGGGUAUCGGUCACAAAAAGGCGUGGAACAUCGCCUGCAUGGUCCAGAAUGUGCUAAGUGCGUUCAUAGAUUGCCUCUCCUGCCAUUUUAUUAUCUGUAAUUCCAUUUCAGUGUCAAUAGAACAGAGCUGGAUGACAAUCUAAAAUAUGAAAAAUGUAUAUUGCAAGAAACAAAAAUAUAAGUUAAAACUUGUAAUACUUUAGAACUAAAUCCGUUUGUAAAUUGAAAACUUAUUUUGAGUGCAUUUCUAGCUCUUUUAUCAUCGUCGCCUGCUAUUCCGAUCACAAUACGUCACGACCAGAUCGGCCCACAAAUCUUUAUUUGCAGACGUACAUAUCUGUAAGUUUGGAGAUAUACAGUCAUGAAAAAUAAUAGAAACGGCAUUUACGGUAUUUCUAUAUAUUUGAAUUUUUACGGUGAUAAGAUGUUUUAGAGGUGAUUUUUACAAGAUUUUACAAGCCAAAAACUGCUGGAAAUCGUGGCAUCCUUUUGUGGCUGUGCUAACUCUUUCAAAAAACAUCAGGCAGUCUUUUGGGCUGACUAACAUGACCUUGUUUUGAAAGGUGGGUGUUGCCGAAAAGGCAAUAUCCUUAAUUGUCCCUAAGGAUCUGGGAUACUCUCUCGAUCCUAAGGAGCCGUGGCACGCCCUGAUCGGACUUAAAAUGACGGACUUUCGACGAUGGUUAAAUCCAUCAUGAUUUAAUUAUUUACAAUGCCAAAAGAUCAGACGCUAUAUCUCGGCCAAGUAGGCCCAGAUCGGUGAAGGACCUAAGUCCUCGUCCUGUCCUGGCUGUCUUGCUGCGGGCCAUAGCCAUGAUGCCGCUGCUGUAUCGUUGAGUCAAUAAUGUGGCGUUGGCGUCGUUUCCACUGCAGCAGGGGCCAGUGAUGGAUGGUGGUCUGGUUGAUUCAAGUCCACGGGAAAUAUCAGUACCCCCUCAUUCGUACGUCGCCGAAUCAAACGCUGGACCUUUGCUUUAAGACGCAGAACUUAUGUACCCUACGCUUUCCUCCGCCAGACGGAGUCCUGUCUAAGCAUUACCGAGGCGCAUUCGAGACAGACCGAGGCCUAUUCCAGCCAGAGAGAAUCGUAACCCAGCAGAACAGAACCGCACCCUUUUCAAGAUCCGAACAUAACAAGUCAUCGUCAUCCUUCGACCUGGCCAUCGACAACUAUCUCAAGGACUUUGGCUAUGGCAACCAAGACAGAAACUACGUGGACUUCUAGACUCUAGAUAUGUAUAUCACGUAGUUGUUAGGUUUAAGGAUAUGCAUUUAGA
rnacentral:misc_RNA from 1 species